UCUACCUGCUGACUUCCCAAGCACAGAUCAGAGAGAGGCAGACAGAUAAAAGACCAUUGCCAUGCAGGGGAGUUUUGAAUAGGCCAAGCUAAAAUGCCCAAAUUAAAAAGUAACCAGGACAUCAAUCAACCUUGAUCUUCAGAGGGACUGUCUCUUAAGAUUCACUCCAACAGGUCCAUGUCCUUCCUGUGCUGAGGAUUCCAGAGCUGGACUCAAUACUCUAUGUGGGGAUGUCUCUAGAGUGGAAUAGAGGGGCAGAGCUGACCUCUUGGCCACACUGCUUUUGAUGCAGUAGCUGUGAUAGCCCUGAUGAGCUGAAGACAUGAGGAAGUGACACCCGGUGGUGACGAAGCAGCAGUUUAUCUCUGAUCCUGGUCCCUCAGAAAGCCAGAGUUCUGCCGUGACUGUUCUGCUGUCUGCAAUCAAGAGCAGGAGGAAAUACAGAGCUGAAAGGUUGUUUUUCCUGAUAAUGAGUACCAUUCCUUAUAGAACAUGAGGCUCUGUCCCUACAAGCAAGUCCUACAGACUGGAACACCAUCCCUCAGUUAGAAGUAUCUAGAUGCCUCCUUGGCAUUAUGAAGGAAUCUACUGACUUGGAGUAAAACGCAGCUCUUGUCCUGAAAGGACUUGAUGGGAAUACCUCAUUUCCUAAGCCUACCUCUACUAAAUGAUUGGUGCUUUGAGUAUAGAAAUUAAUCAGAAAAUAAACUCCCCUGUUUUCCAGAUAGUCCUCAGAGAGGCUGGAUGGGGCUAGGUUUAAUUUCUGAUUAUAACCAAUUCAGCACUGUAAGUCUGGCUGUGGUCAGAAAGCUCUCAGAUGCACAAUGUAGGUUACACUCUAAGUCUGGUCUCAUUCAUGACCACACAUUAACAAAUAGUGCAGUUUACUGGAGCAACAGGCAAUCUAACAGAUUACUGUUGGAUUGCCAGUGGUAAAUUCACCAGACCUACAUAAUCUGAGAGUACAGCACUAUGCACAAGUGUUUCCAGGCAUGCUCUGGUGCAGGUGGAAAUCUUACUGGAGAUGUUCCUGCUUUAGGGAGGAGAUUGGAGCAAGCCCAUCAUCUUGUCUGCAUGGUGGUCACAUUCUUAUCCUCUGCCAUGGAAGAUUUCAAAUACUUUCUGCAGAAGUGAAAGUGAGAUUGUAGUCAAGUAUCCUGUCACUGUCAUCAUGAACAGUGGGGUGGUGCAGCCACUUUUAUAUGUAAGAGAGGGAUAUGCAGAGAGUUACAGAAACUACAGAGACUCUGGGUCAUGCCCAGGGUAGAACAUGUAGUGUCACUCCCAUCUGGCCAGCUGCAGAGCUAAGGUAAGAUUAAUGAGAAGCCCUGCCCAUCACCAGGCCAUCAUGCUCACUGUAAUCCCUCCAGCACCCAUCUCAUGGCACACCUCAGGAAAUCCCUUUACCCACAUGCCACAGUCUAUCCCAUGGCUGCAGGCCUCAUUCCUCCAACUACUCAUUGUAGCUUAGCUUUGGUUUUGUUUUGCUCUGUUUUAAGAACCAUUGGAAAAGCCAUACAGUAAUUUUUCUUUAAAGGACCAAGAUGAAUUAAGACCAGAACUUGUUAAAUCUAAGGGAAGAGCAAACUCUGUGACAGGAGCUUUUCAUAGCAAAAUAACUAAGAACUCAAGGAACAUCCCUAUGCCCCAUUACUCUGAAGCAGAUUAAGAGAAGUCCUGUCAGUCAUUUACAACACAUAACCUUGCAAAUGCUUGUUGUAAUUCACAACCUACAAGAAGAAGAGGCCUAUUUAAUUUUUCAACAGGAGCAUGGGCAAGAAUCUGCCUAGAAGUGAAAUUCCAAGGAGUUAAAAUAGACCUACCCUCUCUCACAGAACAUUUCUAUAAGAGACAGACAAGAUUGCUCCCAUCCAGCAGGCAGUCAUCAGGGAACUCAUCUACAAUGUUUAAAAUUGCCUGCUCUGCAUCCCUUUUGAAUCUGCAUUUCCCAUGUCUCAGUCACUACUCUACUACCUGGCUACACAAUGGCAUACAGUACUUUAAAGUGGGUUCUUUUCAAUUUCAGGUGGUAAGGCCGAUGGGGGAGAAAAAGGACAAUAGUAAUUUGAGGAAAGAAGGAUAGAAUUAAAGUUAAAAUUAAUCUGCAACAGCUAUCAGAUCCUAAACAAAUAACACACAUACAAAAGCAUGAUACAAUCCAAAAACAGUAUUUAAUUAAAAAAAAACAAGUAGAAAAUGCCUCUGGAAGUGGACAUCAAGUUGCCAACAUUGUUUUUGCUACACAAUUUUAAAAGGGUUUCAAGUAUUGUUUUGCAAGCACCUAUAAUAAUUUCAUAUUCUGUCUUCCACUUAUCUUAAAAAGAAUGCUGCAAGUUGAAAUGUCAGCAAAAAUGUUUUGCAGUUUUGUAAAAGUCUGUCUUACAAAAUUCAGAGUCAAGAGUUAUAAAUUUC